GUCAACACAAGUGGCCACUACAAACCGCCGCUCGCCAGAGAAGUAUAGGUGAAAAACCAGAAACUCAAAGGACUUGGCGGUGUCCCACAUCAACCUAGAGGAGCCUGUCCCAUAAUCGAUACCCCACGUUAAACCUCACCCACUUUUGCCUCUCAGCCUAUAUACCGCCGUCGCCAGCCUGCCUAAUGAUGGACACACAGCAGGCAAAAUAGUCUUCACUAAUACGUCAGGUCAAGGUGUAGCUAAUAAGUGGGCCUCAGAUGGGCUACAUUUUCUAAAUACAAGAAAACCACCACACGCACUAUGAAACAUAAGCCGCAAGGCGGAUUUAGCAGUAAGCCGAGCAAGACAGCUCAACUGAAAACUGCCCUGGG
rnacentral:rRNA from 1 species